rnacentral:snRNA from 1 species
AUCCCUUCUCAACCUUUUGGCUAAGAUCAAGUGUAGUAUCUGUCUUUAUCUGUUUAAAUCUCAUUUCCACUACUGUAUGGUUUAGCCUAGAUCCUAGUUUAUACUCCCU